CGCGUAGGCGGUUUUGUAAGUCGGAUGUGAAAUCCCCGGGCUUAACCUGGGAACUGCAUUCGAUACUGCAUAACUAGAGUAUGGUAGAGGGAAGUGGAAUUCUGGGUGUAGCGGUGAAAUGCGUAGAUAUCCGGAGGAACACCGGUGGCGAAGGCGACUUCCUGGGCCAAUACUGACGCUGAGGUGCGAAAGCGUGGGGAGCAAACA
rnacentral:rRNA from 1 species